rnacentral:tRNA from 1 species
GCCACCGUAGCUCAACCGGUAGAGCGGCGGUUUUGUAAACCGCAGGUUGACGGUUCGAAUCCGUCCGGUGGCU